rnacentral:lncRNA from 1 species
CCUGUCCGUGUAGGAUGCACGUGUUCAGCCUUUGGGCACGUGCGCACAGUUGAUUCCGUGCGGGCCUAAAGGGUUACGUACGUGGGGACUUACGGGCGUUCAUGUGUGCGGUCCGUGCAUGUUCGGGGACCAUGUGGGCUUGGCUGCCUGUCCGUGGGCUGUGCGGGCUGGGCUACGUGUUCGGCGCACGUGCAAGCCUCCUUACUCGGGCAUGGGCUUUCCUACAAUUAUUCAAGCUCAUUAAUUAUACUUGGGCCUUAAGCCUAUAAGACUUGGAGAAACUUGGCCCAUCUCUUGGAAUAAUCCCAAUUGAGAGAAUGUUCAGGGAUGAAAUUUUUUCUUGUUCUAGGCAUCCUUCGUUGAUACAAGAUUGUAUCUUUAAAACUAAUUUUGGGCUGUGUAGGAUCACAUCAAAGGGUUUCUUAUCUAUAGCUUCAGUUGUAAGGGAUUAUUCCUCAUAACUACUCUGACACCAUUUAUGACAUCCCAAAUGCUAAA